rnacentral:rRNA from 1 species
UAAGACGGAGGGUGCAAGCGUUACUCGGAAUUACUGGGCGUAAAGGGUCCGUAGGCGGCGCGACAAGUUGGAUGUGAAAUCCCUCGGCUUAACCGAGGAACUGCGUCCAAAACUGUCGUGCUUGAGGAUGGUAGGGGACAGUGGAACUCACGGUGGAGCGGUGAAAUGCGUAGAGAUCGUGAGGAACGCCGGUGGCGAAAGCGACUGUCUGGGCCACUCCUGACGCUGAGGGACGAAAGCUAGGGUAGCGAACGGGAUUAGAUACCCCGGUAGUCCUAGCCGUAAACGAUGGGCACUAGCUUGCGGGAACUUCGGUUCUCACUUGCGUAGCUAACGCGUUAAGUGCCCCGCCUGGGGAGUAUGCGGGCAACCGUA